rnacentral:rRNA from 1 species
GACGAACGCUGGCGGCGUGCUUAACACAUGCAAGUCGAACGGAAAGGCCCUGCUUUUGUGGGGUGCUCGAGUGGCGAACGGGUGAGUAACACGUGAGUAACCUGCCCUUGACUUUGGGGUAACUUCAGGAAACUGGGGCUAAUACCGGAUAGGAGCUCCUGCUGCAUGGUGGGGGUUGGAAAGGUUCGGCGGUUGGGGAUGGACUCGCGGCUUAUCAGCUUGUUGGUGGGGUAGUGGCUUACCAAGGCUUUGACGGGUAGCCGGCCUGAGAGGGUGACCGGCCACAUUGGGACUGAGAUACGGCCCAGACUCCUACGGGAGGCAGCAGUGGGGAAUAUUGCACAAUGGGCGGAAGCCUGAUGCAGCAACGCCGCGUGCGGGAUGACGGCCUUCGGGUUGUAAACCGCUUUCGCCUGUGACGAAGCGUGAGUGACGGUAAUGGGUAAAGAAGCACCGGCUAACUACGUG